GUUACAGUACUUGUAGACAGGGAUUUAGGCCUUAGGUCCUGAGCUGCCAAACAUGUGCUUGCUUAACUUAACUCAGCCUUAGUGAGACUUGACCUCAGUUGCUCUGUUCAAAGCCUUAAGGUUAAAUACAUGUGUAAGUAUUUACAGGAUUGGGUCCUUAGGGAUAACUGUUGCUGUAAUGUCUCUGCACGCUGUGGCGGGCUACUAACAAAGCCAUAUUGUUAGUUAUUUUUGAUGCAAGGUACAUGUGGAAUGUACCUUGAUAUUGAACAUUUCAAUAAAAAGUUUAUGGAUAAAUACAUAGCACAACAAAACCAUUCUUAUUCAUCCCAGUACACUGAAGUAUUUUUAUUUUAAUUCAAUUCAGAGCCAAGCUCCAAGUGAGUAAUCUUGUGAUAUCUGGACCUACAACUUUGCCUUAAUUGUGAGCUCAGCUGUGAAAAGCACUGAUGGGGAGAAAAGAAGAGAAAAAAAUCAGCAGUGAAGGACAUAGAAGGACGAAAACUACAGGAGUGUGGAUGAGAGGAGCUGUCUGAAGUUUGAUCUGGACAAGACAAAGAUAACGUGGUGGGUAAAAGAUAAAAUCCACAAUACUGGUGGGGGUAUCUGUUUCCCUCUUCUCUUGAUCAAAUAGGUUUGCAACUUAAAAGUUCUUUUGGACCAUUGUCUGCUUCUGAAUUACAGGGUAGAAGUAGUGGCCAUAACUCCAGUUACCAAAGUGACUGCAAACUUUCUUUUCAGAAAUGGACCUCACUAUGAAUAGUCAAGUCUUUGUCACUUCCUGUGAUUCACUCUACUUGGGGAUAUGCUUGAAGACCACUCUAAAGUGUUACUUAACGUAGAAUAUGUCAGACCAGUUGCUUAGAGUUGUGAUUUCUGCAAAGCACAUUACAUCCAUGCUCUGUAUGUGGUCUUGACUUCAUAUUUGCUUUUGAGCACAAUUCAAGGUGUUUGUGUAGGCCUCAUCUACACUUAAAAAUUAGGUCAACCUAGCUACAUUGCUCAGGGCUGUGAAAAAUAUGCUCUGAAUGCCGUAGCUAUGCUGAGCUAACCCCGUGUAGAUGCAGGUAGGUCAACAGAUGAAUUCUUCAGUCAACCUAGUGACCACCUCUUUGAGGGGUGGAUAAACUACAUUGAUGGAAAAAAACCCUUGCAUUGAUGUAGGAAGCAUCUAUGUUAUUAAUUGCAUAGCUGCAGAGCUGCUGCUGUAGUGCUUGUAAUGUAGAUAGCGUCAAUCUUUAAAGUCAUUUUGGCUCUAUUGCUAGCUGUUCAAGACACCUCCUCAUAUGUAUUACUUUGAGAGAUGAGAUCAGCUAAACUGCUUAUUGACAGUCUCUAAAUUUGAACUCUAAGGGAUUGGAGAUAGAGCAUCUUUAGAAAAGCAUCUUCAACCCUGGAACUUGUUUCCCUUGUUGAUCUGCCAGAGCCUGUUUUUCAACCUUCCAGGCAUAGCACAAAGCCCAUCUGUUUACUGACAAAUAUAGUAGAAGGUAGGUAGGAUACAUGGGAAAUCUCAGUAUAGUUUGGGUCUAGUGUUUCUGCGUGUAGUGUCAGUAAAUCUGCCUGCAAUUUUAUGUUUCUUACAAAUAUAUAGAUAUGCUCUGGGGCUUGAAUGAUGGAUUUUUGUUUUACAUUAGUAUUAAACUAGUGAUUUUUCCAUUAACAUUUUGCUGGAAAAAGCCAUUUCAACCAAAACAAAAAUGUUCACAAAAGGUUUUCAUUUGGGUGAAAAAUGUUAGUUUUUCAAUGAAAAGUUUCUAAAUUAAAUAUUCUAUUUUGGUGAGGGGAAAAAAGUUUCUCUGACUUUUUUUACUUUCCAGUAGCUUUUCCAGUGAUGGUGGUGGUAGGGAAAUAAGUAAAAAGUAGUGUUCUAAAAAAUUGCACCGGCAACCUUACUUCUGGAAUUUCCUGGCAUUUUAGUGCUUGAUGUCACCACAUCAAUGUUCUUUUAAUGCAGUUUUGGAUGUAAUUUCCUAAUUAAAAGAAAAGAACCCUGAAAAACUGAAAUUCUAUCAAGUGGAACCAUAUAUAGUGACCCCCUCCCAACUUGGGUCAUCAGCAGGGUUUGGACGGCUAGAGCCACAGCACAGGCUGCUAGGGUCUGCGCUAGGACAGUGACUGAUAGAAGUAGUAGGUUGUUAUCCUUUAUGUGGUUCACAGCUCCUGGCUGCCAGUGGAUGACUGCAGAGACUUUGGACUCCUGGGUUCAAGAGGGGAGUAGUGCCUGGGGUUACAGACCACUCCGCCCCGCUGUCCCCCGCCACUGCCCAAGGUGCCCACGCAGCCAGCUGGGCAGUGCCCUCACACCUGGUUCUCUAGGGC